rnacentral:rRNA from 2 species
AAAUUGAAGAGUUUGAUCAUGGCUCAGAUUGAACGCUGGCGGCAGGCCUAACACAUGCAAGUCGAACGGUAACAGGAAGCAGCUUGCUGCUUUGCUGACGAGUGGCGGACGGGUGAGUAAUGUCUGGGAAACUGCCUGAUGGAGGGGGAUAACUACUGGAAACGGUGGCUAAUACCGCAUAACGUCGCAAGACCAAAGAGGGGGACCUUCGGGCCUCUUGCCAUCAGAUGUGCCCAGAUGGGAUUAGCUUGUUGGUGAGGUAACGGCUCACCAAGGCGACGAUCCCUAGCUGGUCUGAGAGGAUGACCAGCCACACUGGAACUGAGACACGGUCCAGACUCCUACGGGAGGCAGCAGUGGGGAAUAUUGCACAAUGGGCGCAAGCCUGAUGCAGCCAUGCCGCGUGUAU